CUCUCUCUCUCUCUCACUUACUCUCUCUAAAACCCUCUGUCUCUCUCUGGAAUUGACGAAGAUGAAGUCCAUGCAGCCGCGUCGCAAUUUCUUACGGGAGACGAUGAAGCCAAGCCUCCCCAGUCGCCAAACCCUAGCUCCGGCAAGCCUCCAAGGAGAAUGCGCCUCCGCCUACAGAUCUAACUCGUCAUCCUUUUUGAUUCUCACAGACAGAGAUUCCCAAAUCCUCCCUCUUUCUAUCAAGAAUCGAUUCACGACGACCCCUUUUUAUCCCGAUUCAAUUUCCCCAGGGGGAUGGCUGUGAUGGUGCAGCAGAUGGCUACGAUAGUGGCCUUUUUUGGUGUAUUGUCUUUCAUCUUCGGAAUUAUUGCGGAAAACAAGAAGGUAUUGUGUGUUAUGGGUCAAAUUGGUGAUUGUUAUAUCGGAAAGACUGAUACAUUUGUGCAUGUGUUCUAUUUUUUCCUUGUGUUACUUUGUGCAUCCUGAAAUUUGAUCCAUGAUAUUCUUCGGUUGUUAUUUGUGGAUGGUGGUUUGUUCGUUUAUUAGGGAUUACUAAUUAGUUAUUUUGAGUGUGUUCUAUCUCUGUGAGGUUGGAUUUUGUGUAAUUAUACACCUUUGCCUGAAGCAGGGCUUGUUUCCCAUGGCUUUAUUACAUCUGAGCAGUAAUAAUCUCAGAAAGGUAAUCAAUAUGUUAGUCUUUGCCUUCUAUUUCCUUGUAAUUGAGUAUUUACCUAAAAGCAUAAGCAUCCAUGUUAGGUAUUUUCUUACUGUUAAGUGUUGCACUCCAUUUAUAAUUCCAGAAUCCUGAGAUUGAUUUGCUGACUUUUUUUUUAUGUCAUAUAUUCUACAGACUUUACUGACUUCUUUUUAUGUCAUAUAUCAAACCAUUUAGGGGUUCAAAAAGGUUUUGUGGGAUGGUUCAAAGGAUUUGUGGGCUGGAAACUUUUUGAAAAUGGAAUUGAUCACCUCAUGUCUCAUUCUUUUUCUCCUAAAGAUGGUAUUGAGCAUGCUGGAACCCAAACUGUUGGGAAGAGUAAGGUAAUAAAAGAUGCUACUCAAGAGUGAACUUGGGAAGACGAUGUCACUCUAUGUUUUGGAUGCAAUCAUCUGUGUAGAUCAUGAGAGAUAUUUCCUAGGCCAACUUCAAAGCAAGGGUUUCCUAAGUUCUUGUCUUAUGAACAUCAGCAGCUUAUCUUAUCAGGUGCUUCUUUAAUCAACUAAGUGAAUUUCUGAUAAUUUGUUGGCUAGACAUCAAUUAAAAAUAAAAUAAAUAAAUAGAUAAGAGUUAAAGCAGACCAUGCUUAGGGUUGGGAGCCUCUUGUGGUCAAUUUCCUUUUCUAUAAGUCAGCUUGAAUAAUCUGGCUCCCAAAUUGGCUUUUUCAAUCAUAAAAUGGUCAGAAAAGAGGUAUAAUAUCCAUUUUCUAAACAUCAAAUAACUAUUAUGUAUACAAUGCAGAUUUGCGACAUAAAUGAAGUAUCAA